GACGGACGCUGGCGGCGUGCCUAACACAUGCAAGUCGAGCGGUAGAUAAAAGCUUGCUUUUAUCUAUAGCGGCGGACGGGUGAGUAGCACGUGGGUAACCUACCUCAAAGUGGGGGAUAGCCUCCCGAAAGGAGAUUAAUACCGCAUAAACAUCAUGGUGUCACAUGACAUUAUGAUCAAAGGAGUAAUCCGCUUUGAGAUGGGCCCGCGGCGCAUUAGCUAGUUGGUGAGGUAACAGCCCACCAAGGCAACGAUGCGUAGCGCACCUGAGAGGUGAUCGCACAUUGACUGAGAUACGUCAGACU
rnacentral:rRNA from 1 species